AUUCCAGCUCUAGUAGCGUAUAUUAUUACUGUUGUAGUUAAAAAGCUCGUAGUUGAAUAUCUGGCGUUGGGAAGCCCUGCCCGCCGCGAUUCGCGUGUGAGUUGUGGGGCGUCCCCGCCAUCCUGUGUGGGAGCCCGCCUACCCUUCAUUGGGCCGGGCGGUGCGAGCACACUCAGUUACUUUGAGAAAAUCUGCGCGUUCAAAGCAGGCACACGCUAUGAAAGCUUCAGCAUGGAAUAACAAGAUAGGACCUGGGUCUCUAUUUUGUUGGUUUCUAGGAUCGAGGUGAUGAUUGAUAGGGACAGUUGGGGGUGCUUGUAUUUAACGGCCAGAGGUGAAAUUCUUGGAUUCGUUAAAGACAAACUACUGCGAAAGCAUUCACCAAGGAUGUCUUCAUCA
rnacentral:rRNA from 1 species